AUGGCUGCUAUGAAGUUCCUGAUAUUGAUAUUGAGGAUCUUCCUAGGGUCGGAACACAAGUCAAAGGUUUGUCUAUCUCUUUGUUUACAUAGAUUUUCCAUGAAUCCUGAGGCACACACUAUGCCACCACUGAAUUCUGAAAUCUAUUCUAAUGCCACCUUUCUUUUUAGUUAUUUACAGGAUGUCCAUAUUUUGCUGCACAAACCAUGCAUGGCAAAAGCAGCACAAUUGAUUUUCUGCCCAUAUAGCAACCUAAUUAGUCCAAUUGUCAGGAGAGCAAUGGACAUUGAUAUCAUUGGCUCAAUUGUUAUUCUUGAUGAAGCGCAGUAA
rnacentral:rRNA from 1 species